AAAGUUAAAAGGUUUUAUUUCGUAUCACAUAAACAAUAUUUUUCUUCUAGAAACAUUUAUAAAAUACUCCCAGAGGAUAAAGUAUCACUAUUCUUAAUUAUCGAAAUAGGAUAGAGGACAUAACAAUCUUCCUUACGUGCUAGUUUAAUUGACAUCUUAUUUCAAAAUCACAGUCAAAUAUGGUUUUUAUUGCUUAUUAUUAAUUCUCUUGUCGAUGAAAGGCCCUGCAACAAUUUCUUGUUGAGUUCAGGCAAAUAGCUACAUUACAGUCAGA
rnacentral:misc_RNA from 1 species